AGAGUUCAAUGCAUUAUCCAUAUUGGAAAAUUCAUUGAGUUCUGCAUCUACUUCAGGACAGACUUCUCUUUUGCUGUUCAUUACACUAAGAAUUGACCAGCUAGAUUUUGUCUUUGUCUUCUUCCCUGAGAUAAGGAAAAGUAAGGACUCAAACAUUCUAAGACUAAUUGCUUCCACCUCCUUCAACAAGCUAACCAUUGCUGUAGUGUCGUAGUCGUUACCGUCGACUGUUGUGUUGCUUUUUCUUUCGAUGCUCUUAUUAGUAUCAAGGGCCUUUUGGAUUGCCCUCUUUACAACUUUUUUAGAGGCCAAGUAUUUCUUAAUCUCAUUUGUCAUCUCAGAUCUUCGCCGAAUGGUCGAGCGAAGCUCACGGACACAUUCCUUUGUGUGAAUCAAAGCAUCCUUGGCUGAACUGCACAUAUCAAGCAGCCUAAGAGAUCCAUCCAACAACUCAUCAACCCAUUUCUCUCCACAAUGUCUAACAAAA
rnacentral:lncRNA from 1 species